AAUAGAUACCCAGGUAGUCCACGCCGUAAACGAUGAGUGCUAAGUGUUAGAGGGUUUCCGCCCUUUAGUGCUGCAGCUAACGCAUUAAGCACUCCGCCUGGGGAGUACGGUCGCAAGACUGAAACUCAAAGGAAUUGACGGGGGGCCCGCACAAGCGGUGGAGCAUGUGGUUUAAUUCGAAGCAACGCGAAGAACCUUACCAGGUCUUGACAUCCCACUGACCGGUAUAGAGAUAUACCCUUCCCUUCGGGGACAGUGGUGACAGGUGGUGCAUGGUUGUCGUCAGCUCGUGUCGUGAGAUGUUGGGUUAAGUCCCGCAACGAGCGCAACCCUUGAUCUUAGUUGCCAGCAUUUAGUUGGGCACUCUAAGGUGACUGCCGGUGACAAACCGGAGGAAGGUGGGGAUGACGUCAAAUCAUCAUGCCCCUUAUGACCUGGGCUACACACGUGCUACAAUGGAUGGUACAAAGGGCUGCAAGACUGCGAAGUCAAGCCAAUCCCAUAAAACCAUUCUCAGUUCGGA
rnacentral:rRNA from 1 species